rnacentral:rRNA from 1 species
ACACGACCGUACCGCAAACCGACACUGGUGCGCGAGAUGAGUAUUCUAAGGCGCUUGAGAGAACUCAGGAGAAGGAACUCGGCAAAUUGACACCGUAACUUCGGAAGAAGGUGUGCCUUUAGUAGGUGAACCUGUACAAGGGGAGCCCAAUGAGGUUGCAAAAAAUCGGUGGCUGCGACUGUUUAAUAAAAACACAGCACUCUGCAAACACGAAAGUGGACGUAUAGGGUGUGACGCCUGCCCGGUGCUGGAAGAUUAAAUGAUGGGGUGCAAGCUCUUGAUUGAAGUCCCAGUAAACGGCGGCCGUAACAAUAACGGUCCUAAGGUAGCGAAAUUCCUUGUCGGGUAAGUUCCGACCUGCACGAAUGGCGUAACGAUGGCCACACUGUCUCCUCCUGAGACUCAGCGAAGUUGAAAUGUUUGUGAUGAUGCAAUCUCCCCGCGGAAAGACGGAAAGACCCCAUGAACCUUUACUGUAGCUUUGUAUUGGACUUUGAACAGAUCUGUGUAGGAUAGGUGGGAGGCUUUGAAGUGUGGUCGCUAGAUCGCAUGGAGCCAACGUUGAAAUACCACCCUGGUGUGUUUGAGGUUCUAACCUAGGCCCGUAAUCCGGGUCGGGGACAGUGCAUGGUAGGCAGUUUGACUGGGGCGGUCUCCUCCCAAAGCGUAACGGAGGAGUUCGAAGGUACGCUAGGUACGGUCGGACAUCGUGCUAAUAGUGCAAUGGCAUAAGCGUGCUUAACUGCGAGACUGACAAGUCGAGCAGAUGCGAAAGCAGGACAUAGUGAUCCGGUGGUUCUGUAUGGAAGGGCCAUCGCUCAACGGAUAAAAGGUACUCUGGGGAUAACAGGCUGAUACCGCCCAAGAGUUCAUAUCGACGGCGGUGUUUGGCACCUCGAUGUCGGCUCAUCUCAUCCUGGGGCUGUAGCCGGUCCCAAGGGUAUGGCUGUUCGCCAUUUAAAGAGGUACGUGAGCUGGGUUUAAAACGUCGUGAGACAGUUUGGUCCCUAUCUUCCGUGGGCGCUGCAGAUUUGAGGAAGCCUGCUCCUAGUACGAGAGGACCGGAGUGGACACACCUCUGGUGUAUCGGUUGUCACGCCAGUGGCAUUGCCGAGUAGCUAUGUGUGGAAGAGAUAACCGCUGAAAGCAUCUAAGCGGGAAACUCGUUUCAAGAUGAGAUCUGCCGGGGCCUUGAGCCCCCUAAAGAGUCGUUCAAGACCAGGACGUUGAUAGGUCGGGUGUGGAAGCGCAGUAAUGCGUUAAGCUAACCGAUACUAAUUGCUCGUGCGGCUUGACCU